rnacentral:lncRNA from 1 species
CAAGACUGUGGGAUCAGCAGGAGCGGAGUGUUUACUGUUUCCCCUUUAAGAAGCAUAAAAGAUGUCACUUCUGGUUUAUGUAACUGCCUGAAACAAGAUAAAUUAGCUGGCAAGUGCAGUGGGUUUUAUAAGGACUAGAAGACCCUCUUCAGUGAUGUAACACCUUCCUAAUCUAAUCCAGCAUGGCCCGUGUUGACUACUGUAUAUUUUCUUACAAAUUUAUCACAAGAAGCAGAAUUUUGUCUCCUGAUACAUACAGACAAUUUCAUGAAAUAGUCCUUUUUUAUUAUUUUUGAGAGGGCUGGUGGGUGGCAUGACAGAGAGUACAAAAGAUUAUUUCUCAGUAAACCACACUCAAGCUGAAACCUUGAAAUUACAAAUUUUGUCUCCAGUUCUUCUAUCAGCUGACAUUAAUGUCUUGGCACCCCUAGGAGGCAAAGUUCCAUAUCUCCAGGAACUAGCCUUUUUUUUUCAGCAGAUAUGUAGCAGGUAACUGACAACUUCCACAGGUCACUUUCACUAGAGAUGAGAAACUCUCAGUGCGGCAGAGGCAAACCUGGCAGUCUGCAUUUUUGCCAUGCAGUUUCUGAGAAAACACUUACCAGAUUGGGUAAUCCUGCAAGCUGCACUGAUUCAUCAUAGCUAGGACACCUUCUGUGACUCAGACCACACAGAGAGGUUUACAACUGCUUUACAUCAUGGGGAGAAGUCCAAAUUGCAGGGGCUUGUAUUUUCUCUUCCAGAAUGAGUCUGAGCUCUGAGAGAUGAAGCAGUCGAGAACUGCCGAUGGUAUGUGGAACAACCAGACCAAUGCUUCCUUGGCCAGGAAUGAGCACCUCAAAUCUGGAUGCAUGUCCUUUUUCUUCUGGUACAUAUAUAACAAAAAGAUUUCAGCAAAGUAAAUACGUAGCUGCCUCCUGUGGUUUGGAUUGUGAAGAAUUAUCUCCGUGCUCACUUAGGCAAGUUCUGUCUCCUGCCUUCUGUGAACUGAGGUGCCCACCACUUCGGGUCCCAGAUCAUGGUGGUGUCCCAGAAGGAGGUUCAGUGGCAGAAGCCGAAUUUCACUGCCUUACUACAAGUGUUGGACAGUUUGCAGCUUUUUAAGUUACCAGACAUACACCAGCAGUGUACAGAAUGGACUAAAAACCAACAUGUUAAUUUGGGGAGCUGAGGCAUUAUUUUUGUUGUCUCACCACUGCUUUUCAAGAGUUGAGGUUGCCUGUACUACAUAUUACAGACAUUCUGAUGCUUAUAGACAAGCAAAUCCAAGGAAAAUGCUUACACACACACACACAAGUUUAUUUUUCUUUUACUUGUAAACAGAUAAAAAGUGAUCUGUACAGCUGAUAUAAAAAUAAAUUCACUUUGGCCUCGCUUUUGUUCA